rnacentral:rRNA from 1 species
AUGGCUUCUUCCUCCUCUUCCGUCUUCUCCCCGCUCCUGCGGCCUACGCUCCGGCUGCGGGUCGCCUCCUGCGCCACGCGCUCCUCUGCUCUCCACGCUGUGUCUGCGGACAACGCUGCCCCUGCCCCGCAGUCGGCGCCUCUCGCGGUUGCUAGCCACAGGAGGGAGCUGGUGGUGGGGACGGCGCUCGGUGCGCUGUUCUCGGCGACGCCGCUGCCCGCGGGAGCGCGCGAGGUCGAGGCCGGCAAGUACCUGCCGCCGGCGCCGGCCAGCCCGGGCUUCGUGUUCUUCAAGGCCACCACCAAGGACACCCCCGCCCUCCGGGCUGGCAAUGUGGAACCAUAUGAGUUCAUCCUGCCGCCCACCUGGAAGCAGCUGCGAGUGGCCAACAUACUCUCCGGCAAUUACUGCCAGCCCAAGUGCGCGGAGCCAUGGGUGGAGGUGAAAUUCGAGGACGAGAGGCAGGGCAAAGUGCAGGUGGUGGCCUCGCCGCUGAUCCGCCUCACCAACCGGCCGAACGCCACCAUCGAGGACAUCGGCAGCCCCGAGAAGCUGAUCGCCUCCCUGGGGCCCUUCGUCACCGGCAACACCUUGGAACCCGAGGAGAUCAUCGAGGCCUCUGUCGAGAAGAUCGGCGACCUAACUUACUACAGCUAUGUGCUGGAGACCCCACUGGCACUGACGGGCUCUCACAAUCUGGCCAAGGCCACGGCCAAGGGGAGCACGGUGGUGCUCUUCGUCGCGAGCGCCAGCGACAAGCAGUGGCAGUCGUCGGAAAAGAUUCUGAAGGCUAUGGUAGAUUCAUUCCAAAUAUGA